UAGAAGAAGGGCAAAGAUCUAAACUAAAACAUCAUCCUUGAUGACCGAGACAAUCACAUGCGACAUGGAAGCCUUAUUUUUUAGACUUUUUUUUUUGAAGCUCAAACUCCGUAACUCUAGCGUUACUUGUAUUCGUACGAGUGUGUGCAUGUGGUUUUACAUGUUGUACGUAGGUUUCUGGAAAACGUAAUACAAUUACUAUGGAUCAGAUGGAGUAUCAAAAAUCAGAAAAUAAAGAACAUUCUUUUAGUUGUCUUGAAUGCCAAAAAGAGAAGGUACAUGAUUGUUUUGACCCGAAAGCUCAAAACUCUGACUAACGGAACAAUGAAUGCAGGCUGUAUAAGAGAUUAACAAACGGAGACAUCUAAACGGUAACAAUCUUUACACCACAUUAUUGCAAAUCGAAGAUAAUAUUUCUGGUUUGGCUCCCACGCGCACACUACGCCAGUUUACUUUCGGUCGCGCCUCUGUGGCUUUGUGCAUCUCUAUGGGGAGGAGCAAUGCUUGUUUGGAUCGUUAGAUUUUGGACACCUGGCUGGGCCCUCCUCCAACUGAGACAGCGCGUGUCCACGCCAAUGCGCCGGCAACGGCGGCAUGGCGUCGACGGAACCGCCGGAGGAGGGUUCCCCGGCGUGCACCUGAUCACCUUGCAGCGGCCUCGCAGAGGCCCGGGUCCACGGGCCGGAUGUAGCCACGAGAACCAAGAGCAUGGCCACUGCAAGCUUGCCGGUCAUUGUGGACUUGUUCGAACUUAUUUAUAAGGCCGCAGUGUUGCUUGUCGUAAUUGGGAGAUGGGUCUAUCAAACUAGUUAGGCUUUUGAGUGCUGUGUAUGCGAGCUGUAGUCUUGAUUUGUUCGAAGAUUUGG
rnacentral:rRNA from 1 species